rnacentral:lncRNA from 1 species
AAGCAGUAGCUUGAAUUCCCCUUUAUAAUGGGGUUACUUUCUUGCAGCAUCUGGAUCACUGAGACCCCUUAUGCAUGAGCCUGAGCUAGUUUGCAAGAGGAGUGGAAACAAGAAAAAGCACCCAGCCUCUCCAGCCAGGUGCCUCAUGAGUAAGUGAAGCCUUCCUGGAGGAUCCAGACAUGGGUCAGACCCAGGGGAGGUCUGCUGACCUGCCUAGAACAGAACCAUUUGACCAUAGGAUCACCAGAUAAAUAUAUGGUUGGGGUUUUUUUGUUUGCUUUUGGGAGUUUUGUUUUAUUUUGGUUUUAGUUUGGGUACCAGGGAUUGAACCCAGUGGCAUUUAACCACUGAGCCACAUCCCCAGCCCUUUUGUGUAUUUUAUUUAGAGACAGGGUCUUGCUGAGUAGCUAAGUGCCUUCCUAUCUGCUGAGGCUGGCUUUGAACUCACUAUCCUCCUGCUUCUGCCUCCUGAGUUGCUGGGAUUAUAGGCGUGGGUGGCCCAUGAGCCCAGCUAUGGUUGUUUUCAAAUAGCAAAUGUCAGGGAAGGGAAGUGGGGAUUGCUAUUAGGAAAAACUAACUGAUUAAAGUGAGAUGUAAUGGUAAACACGCUGGAAUCCUAGUGUCUCAGGAGGCCAAGGCAGGAAGAUGGCAAUUUUGAAGCUAACUUGGGCAACUUAACAAGACCCUGUCUCAAAACAAAAAAUUUAAAGGGACGAGGAUGUACUUCAGUGAUAGAGCACCCCUGGAUUUAAUCCCUAGUACUGCAAAAAAAAAAAGGAUAUAAUUUUUA